AUUGAACGCUAGCGGGAUGCCUUACACAUGCAAGUCGAACGGCAGCGCGGACUUCGGUCUGGCGGCGAGUGGCGAACGGGUGAGUAAUGUAUCGGAACGUGCCCAGUAGCGGGGGAUAACUACUCGAAAGAGUAGCUAAUACCGCAUACGCCCUACGGGGGAAAGGGGGGGAUCGCAAGACCUCUCACUAUUGGAGCGGCCGAUAUCGGAUUAGCUAGUUGGUGAGGUAAAGGCUCACCAAGGCGACGAUCCGUAGCUGGUUUGAGAGGACGACUGGCCACACUGGGACUUAGACACGGCCCAGAAUCCUACGGGAGGCAGCAGUGGGGAAUUUUGGACAAUGGGGGCAACCCUGAUCCAGCCAUUCCGCGUGUGCGAUGAAGGCCUUCGGGUUGUAAAGCACUUUUGGCAGGAAAGAAAUCGCACGGAUUAAUACUCUGUGUGGAUGACGGUACCUGCAGAAUAAGCACCGGCUAACUACGUGCCAGCCGCCGCCGUAA
rnacentral:rRNA from 1 species